rnacentral:rRNA from 1 species
AUAUUCCUACGGGGCGCAGCAGUGGGGAAUAUUGCACAAUGGGGGAAACCCUGAUGCAGCGACGCCGCGUGAGUGAAGAAGUAUUUCGGUAUGUAAAGCUCUAUCAGCAGGAACGAGACAAGACGGUACCUGACUAAGAAGCCCCGGCUAACUACGUGCCAGCAGCCGCGGUAAUACGUAGGGGGCAAGCGUUAUCCGGAUUUACUGGGUGUAAAGGGGGCGCAGACGGCAGCGCAAGCCAGGAGUGAAAGCCCGGGGCCCAACCCCGGGACUGCUCUUGGAACUGCGCGGCUGGAGUGCAGGAG